rnacentral:rRNA from 1 species
ACGCUGGCGGCGUGCCUAAUACAUGCAAGUAGAACGCUGAAGAGAGGAGCUUGCUCUUCUUGGAUGAGUUGCGAACGGGUGAGUAACGCGUAGGUAACCUGCCUUGUAGCGGGGGAUAACUAUUGGAAACGAUAGCUAAUACCGCAUAACAAUGGAUGACACAUGUCAUUUAUUUGAAAGGGGCAAUUGCUCCACUACAAGAUGGACCUGCGUUGUAUUAGCUAGUAGGUGAGGUAACGGCUCACCUAGGCGACGAUACAUAGCCGACCUGAGAGGGUGAUCGGCCACACUGGGACUGAGACACGGCCCAGACUCCUACGGGAGGCAGCAGUAGGGAAUCUUCGGCAAUGGGGGCAACCCUGACCGAGCAACGCCGCGUGAGUGAAGAAGGUUUUCGGAUCGUAAAGCUCCGUUGUAAGUCAAGAACGAGUGUGAGAGUGGAAAGUUCACACUGUGACGGUAGCUUACCAGAAAGGGACGGCUAACUACGUGCCAGCAGCCGCGGUAAUACGUAGGUCCCGAGCGUUGUCCGGAUUUAUUGGGCGUAAAGCGAGCGCAGGCGGUUUGAUAAGUCUGAAGUUAAAGGCUGUGGCUCAACCAUAGUUCGCUUUGGAAACUGUCAAACUUGAGUGCAGAAGGGGAGAGUGGAAUUCCAUGUGUAGCGGUGAAAUGCGUAGAUAUAUGGAGGAACACCGGUGGCGAAAGCGGCUCUCUGGUCUGUAACUGACGCUGAGGCUCGAAAGCGUGGGGAGCGAACAGGAUUAGAUACCCUGGUAGUCCACCCCGUAAACGAUGAGUGCUAGGUGUUGGAUCCUUUCCGGGAUUCAGUGCCGCAGCUACGCAUUAAGCACCUCCGCCUGGGGAGAACGACCGCAAGGUUGAAACUCAAAGGAAUUGACGGGGGCCCGCA